GGAAGGAUGGCCGAGCGGUUAAGGCGUUGUGUUUAGGCUUACUAAGCUUAAAUCCCGCAAUGGGAAACCUCGUGGGUUCGAAUCCCACUCCUUUCA